rnacentral:tRNA from 1 species
GCUCCCAUAGCUUAGCUCAAA